UACGAAGGGGGCUAGCGUUGUUCGGAUUUACUGGGCGUAAAGGGCGCGUAGGCGGUGCAAUAAGUCAGGCGUGAAAGCCCCGGGCUCAACCCGGGAAUUGCGCUUGAUACUGUUGCGCUUGAAUCCAGGAGAGGAUGGCGGAAUUCCCAGUGUAGAGGUGAAAUUCGUAGAUAUUGGGAAGAACACCAGUGGCGAAGGCGGCCAUCUGGCCUGGAAUUGACGCUGAGGCGCGAAAGCGUGGGGAGCGAACAGG
rnacentral:rRNA from 1 species